GGAAUUGGGGUUAAGGUGAGAGGAUAUCAACAUGGCAAGACAGGAAGACAGAAGGAUUUAUAGCCCAGCACAGCUCUGUUUAUAACAACCUGCUUUGAGGGAACUAAGCAGGAUCUUACGAGAACUACACUAAUCCCUUACCAGCUAAAACCUCAAUGGUCCAGUGAUGCUGUGACGCUCCAGGGCAAGAUCACACCAGCUGAGGACAUGCUGGGAGGAACAAAAUCUUCAUCUGCAUAGUUCCUCAUUGUUCUAGGAUUUUCGCUACUGCAGCCCUGAGCCACCUUUUAUAUUUGUUACUCCCGAUGCACUGAAUUGGCUGCCCUCUGGGUCAUCU
rnacentral:lncRNA from 1 species